rnacentral:rRNA from 1 species
AUUGAACGCUGGCGGCAGGCCUAACACAUGCAAGUCGAGCGGAUGAAGGGAGCUUGCUCCUGGAUUCAGCGGCGGACGGGUGAGUAAUGCCUAGGAAUCUGCCUGGUAGUGGGGGAUAACGUCCGGAAACGGGCGCUAAUACCGCAUACGUCCUGAGGGAGAAAGUGUGGGAUCUUCGGACCUCACGCUAUCAGAUGAGCUUAGGUCGGAUUAGCUAGUUGGUGGGGUAAAGGCCUACCAAGGCGACGAUCCGUAACUGGUCUGAGAGGAUGAUCAGUCACACUGGAACUGAGACACGGUCCAGACUCCUACGGGAGGCAGCAGUGGGGAAUAUUGGACAAUGGGCGAAAGCCUGAUCCAGCCAUGCCGCGUGUGUGAAGAAGGUCUUCGGAUUGUAAAGCACUUUAAGUUGGGAGGAAGGGCAGUAAGUUAAUACCUUGCUGUUUUGACGUUACCAAAAGAAUAAGCACCGGCUAACUUCGUG